rnacentral:rRNA from 1 species
AACGAACGCUGGCGGCAUGCCUAACACAUGCAAGUCGAACGAGAUCUUCGGGUCUAGUGGCGCACGGGUGCGUAACGCGUGGGAAUCUGCCCUUUGGUUCGGAAUAACGGUUGGAAACGACUGCUAAUACCGGAUGAUGACGAAAGUCCAAAGAUUUAUCGCCAGAGGAUGAGCCCGCGUAGGAUUAGCUAGUUGGUGUGGUAAAGGCGCACCAAGGCGACGAUCCUUAGCUGGUCUGAGAGGAUGAUCAGCCACACUGGGACUGAGACACGGCCCAGACUCCUACGGGAGACAGCAGUGGGGAAUAUUGGACAAUGGGCGAAAGCCUGAUCCAGCAAUGCCGCGUGAGUGAUGAAGGCCUUAGGGUUGUAAAGCUCUUUUACCCGGGAUGAUAAUGACAGUACCGGGAGAAUAAGCUCCGGCUAACUCCGUGCCAGCAGCCGCCGCGG